rnacentral:rRNA from 1 species
GCUUUGGGAGGGGCUCGCGGCCUAUCAGCUUGUUGGUGAGGUAACGGCUCACCAAGGCGACGACGGGUAGCUGGUCUGAGAGGACGAUCAGCCACACUGGGACUGAGACACGGCCCAGACUCCUACGGGAGGCAGCAGUAGGGAAUCUUGCGCAAUGGGCGAAAGCCUGACGCAGCAACGCCGCGUGGGGGAUGAAGGCCUUCGGGUUGUAAACUCCUUUCAGUGGGAACGAAAUUGACGGUACCCACAGAAGAAGCCCCGGCUAACUACGUGCCAGCAGCCGCGGUGAUACGUAGGGGGCGAGCGUUGUCCGGAUUUACUGGGCCUAAAGAGCUCGUAGGCGGCUUGAUAAGUCGGGUGUGAAACCUCCAGGCUUAACCUGGAAUCGCCACUUGAUACUGUCAUGGCUGGAGUCCGGUAGGGGACCAUGGAAUUCCUGGUGUAGCGGUGAAAUGCGCAGAUAUCAGGAGGAACACCAGUAGCGAGGGCGGUGGUCUGGGCCGGUACUGACGCUGAGGAGCGAAAGCGUGGGGAGCGAACAGGAUUAGAUACCCUGGUAGUCCACGCCGUAAACGUUGGGCACUAGGUGUGGGGCUCUAUCGACGGGUUCCGUGCCGCAGCUAACGCAUUAAGUGCCCCGCCUGGGGAGUACGGCCU